rnacentral:rRNA from 1 species
UACGUAGGGCGCAAGCGUUGUCCGGAAUUAUUGGGCGUAAAGAGCUCGUAGGCGGUUUGUCGCGUCUGCUGUGAAAACCUAAGGCUCAACCUUGGGCUUGCAGUGGGUACGGGCAGACUAGAGUGCGGUAGGGGUGACUGGAAUUCCUGGUGUAGCGGUGGAAUGCGCAGAUAUCAGGAGGAACACCGAUGGCGAAGGCAGGUCUCUGGGCCAUUACUGACACUGAGGAGCGAAAGCGUGGGGAGCGAACAGG